UACGUAGGGUGCAAGCGUUGUCCGGAAUUAUUGGGCGUAAAGAGCUCGUAGGCGGUUUGUUGCGUCGGCUGUGAAAUCCCGAGGCUCAACCUCGGGUCUGCAGUCGAUACGAGCAAACUAGAGUGUUGCAGGGGAGACUGGAAUUCCUGGUGUAGCGGUGAAAUGCGCAGAUAUCAGGAGGAACACCGGUGGCGAAGGCGGGUCUCUGGGCAACAACUGACACUGAGGGACGAAAGCUAGGGGAGCGAACAGG
rnacentral:rRNA from 1 species